UACCCGCCUGACUUAAGCAUAUCAAUAAGCGGAGGAAAAGAAACCAACAGGGAUUGCCCCAGUAACGGCGAGUGAAGCGGCAACAGCUCAAAUUUGAAAUCUGGCCCUAGGCCCGAGUUGUAAUUUGCAGAGGAUGCUUUUGGCGAGGUGCCUUCCAAGUGCCCUGGAACGGGACGCCACAGAGGGUAAGAGCCCCGUCUGGUUGGACACCGAGCCUCUGUAAAGCUCCUUCGACGAGUCGAGUAGUUUGGGAAUGCUGCUCUAAAUGGGAGGUAUAUGUCUUCUAAAGCUAAAUAUUGGCCAGAGACCGAUAGCGCACAAGUAGAGUGAUCGAAAGAUGAAAAGCACUUUGAAAAGAGGGUUAAAUAGUACGUGAAAUUGUUGAAAGGGAAGCGCUUAUGACCAGACUUGGGCCCGGUGAAUCAUCCAGCGUUCUCGCUGGUGCACUUUGCCGGGCUCAGGCCAGCAUCAGUUUGCCGCGGGGGAUAAAGGUUUCGGGAACGUGGCUCCUCCGGGAGUGUUAUAGCCCGUUGCAUAAUAUCCUGCGGUGGACUGAGGUUCGCGCAUCUGCUAGGAUGCUGGCGUAAUGGUCAUCAGCGACCCGUCUUGAAACACGGACCAAGGAGUCGUCUUCGUAUGCGAGUGUUCGGGUGUCAAACCCCUACGCGUAAUGAAAGUGAACGCAGGUGAGAGCUUCGGCGCAUCAUCGACCGAUCCUGAUGUUCUCGGAUGGAUUUGAGUAAGAGCAUACGGGGCCGGACCCGAAAGAAGGUGAACUAUGCCUGUAUAGGGUGAAGCCAGAGGAAACUCUGGUGGAGGCUCGCAGCGGUUCUGACGUGCAAAUCGAUCGUCAAAUAUGGGCAUGGGGGCGAAAGACUAAUCGAACCUUCUAGUAGCUGGUUUCCGCCGAAGUUCCCCCUCAGGA
rnacentral:rRNA from 1 species